AAUACGGCCAUGCCUUCACCUCAGACGGGCGCGUUAAACCGGCGAACGAUCCAAUAACGCUGUCAGUUGGAACUCGGUUGACCUAUUGCAUCUGUAGACAAAAACAACACCCGCCGGAGAGAGCAUCUUCAAGAAAGCCUCAGGAGUGAUAUUGGUGGGUACCCCAUGAACAAUUCCCUUCACGCAUGCGAGGUUAGGUGGCACGAAAGCACGGGCCGCGAUGCUAGCGAAUCUCGUGCAGUUAAACAAAUCAUUGAGGCACUGAAGAUUAGACGACUUACAUAGAAUGCCAGUCUUGCCAAAACGCCUCACCUCCGAGAUGUCAAUGAAAUGUUCCAUUAUAGCACGCAGCUCCUCCUGGAUACUUUCCGAUUCAGUCAACCGAAUGGAUCCACCAACUGUGGGAACAAGCGCCACUGGCAAGGUAUUCACUCUAUUCCGAAGGAAACACUCGAAAGGCACCGACUCAGUGGGACGACUAGCAGACCAGGGAGAGCCCUGGCCGGGACCGGAGACCGGCAUUCACAGUCCCUGAAAAGGAAGGGAAAGGGAAAAAAGAAAACACUAUAGCAGGAACAAAGCACUAUAUGUGUACAAUCAGUUAAAAAGUGGCCAAUCCCCUCUGGGACUCGAGACAAGUGGAAGCAAGUUUAAGGGGCUUUAGUGGAAGCUUGUUUGCUUGCUUGGCAGGACUUCCGUACGAACUUAAAAUGCAGUCGACGCUUCUCCUUCAAUAAAAUUCUUCUUCUUUAUUGUAAAAAAAAAAAAAAGAGUGGCAAUUGAAGCUCAUUCUAGAUACAUGGCACCCUGCAUUGCCUUUGUACUUUGUUUGUGUUUGUUGGAAGUUUAGCGCGUCGUUAUCGUCGUGACACAGCAUUCUCGACAGGAAAGUAUAGCGAGCGCAGUGUUAGACGCAAGAAAGACAUGACGGUUAUCGUUGUGGGACAAGACCAGCCCCAAAGGGUGCAACAUUUUUGAAGAGUCUAGACAGGUGUACGUGUCUGCGUAUUUGUCUGUAGUCUCCGCCCGAAGACAGCUUUUUCUUUUGGAAAACCGAAGCUUCUUGUUAAAACGAGAAGGCUUAGGUGGCUUAGGUUUUGAAACUGAAACCAGUACGCUCCGCAAAGAACCAAUUGGCAUCGUCGCUUUGCCACAUGCACGUGCACGGACGCACGCGCUUCGACUGAGGCCGGGCCCUCGCAUUCCGUGCCGUGAUAGCCCUAUAGUGUUCGAGCACUAUUUCAAAGCUGUGUGCACCGCCGAGGAGCAGUCAUUUCUUGUCUCAUGGCAAUGGACACGGAGGGUCAAGCAGUAUUCCAAGCUGCAACCUUGCUGACAUCGAGAAAUCGAAAGCCAGCAGUCUGCCUCCAGGACUCAGUUGCUCUAAAUGGCCGUCGGCAGAUUCGCUUGGAAAGAGACUGGCUGACAAGCAAGAAUGUAACUGGCCCAUCACUACCCUCAGGUCCUGCCACCGGCAAUGCUACCAUGAAUGGGAAAUCCACUGCAGCUGCCCCCCCCCCCCCCCCUGGAGCCUACAGUUCUACGUCUUGUCGGGCAGAAAGGGCACAGUGAUGCAAGUCUGACUCUUCUGCCAUGGUGGUCGCCAGAGACGGGCAGACUAUCCGGGAGAUGACGGUCACUGCGAACGGCUUCUACAGGGACGGCAGGAUGGUCUUGCGUAAACUCAAGCAAGUUCUCCACAAGGGAGACAUUGUCAACAUCGACUACAGCCUAACGUUGAUAUAUUGAACAACACAGUGAUUGCGAAAUAGUUUGUACGUAGCCCGAAUUAUAUUUAUAAAAUCAUGUAAAAACGUAUAA